rnacentral:rRNA from 1 species
UACGCAGGGGGCUAGCGUUGUUCGGAAUUACUGGGCGUAAAGCGUGCGCAGGCGGCUUCUCAAGUCAGGUGUGAAAGCCCAGAGCUCAACUCUGGAAUUGCCUUUGAGACUGAGUGGCUUGAGUACGAGAGAGGUGAGUGGAAUUCCCAGUGUAGAGGUGAAAUUCGUAGAUAUUGGGAAGAACACCGGUGGCGAAGGCGGCUCACUGGCUCGUAACUGACGCUCAUGCACGAAAGCGUGGGGACCAAACAGG